UCUCCGUUGGUGAACCAGCGGAGGGAUCAUUACAGAGUUGCAAAACUCCCAAACCAUUGUGAACGUUACCUAUCCCGUUGCUUCGGCGGGCGGCCCGGGCCCCGCGCCCGGCGCCCCCCGGCCCCCCGUGGGCGCCCGCCGGAGGUAAACCAAACCCUUGAAUUGCAUGGCCUCUCUGAGUCUUCUGUACUGAAUAAGUCAAAACUUUCAACAACAGAUCUCUUGGUUCUG
rnacentral:misc_RNA from 1 species